rnacentral:rRNA from 1 species
CCCUUAGAUGUUCUGGGCUGCACGCGCGCUACACUGAAGCGUUCAACGAGUAUUUCACCUUGCCCGGGAGGGUUGGGUAAUCUUUUUAAAACGCUUCGUGAUGGGGAUAGAUUAUUGCAAUUAUUAAUCUUCAACGAGGAAUUCCUAGUAAGCGCAAGUCAACAGCUUGCGUUGAUUACGUCCCUGCCCUUUGUACACACCGCCCGUCGCUACUACUGAUUGGAUGUUUAAGCGAGGUUCUCGAACUGCUAGCGACUUAGCUUCGGUGAGGUCGCAGUGUGGGAAGUGAACCUAGCUUUGGUGUCUAGAGGAAGUAAAAGUCGUAACA